GAAGGGGCAGGAUCCAUGCAUACACGUGAUAGAUGUGACCCGCCAUCCGUUCACAAACAUGCGUCCUGGACCCUGUCCAGAACAAGG